rnacentral:rRNA from 1 species
CCUACGGGUGGCAGCAGUGAGGCAUAUUGGUCCAUGGACGAGAGUCUGAACCAGCCAAGUAGCGUUAAGGAUGACUGCCCUAUGGGUUGUAAACUUCUUUUAUAUGGGAAUAAAAUGUUCAACGUGGGGGAUUUUGUAUGUACCAUAUGAAUACGGAUCGGCUAACUCCGUGCCAGCAGCCGCGGUAAGACGGAGGAUCCGAGCGUUAUCCGGAUUUAUUGGGUUUAAAGGGCGCGUAGGUGGAUUGUUAAGUCAGUUGUGAAAGUUUGCGGCUCAACCGUAAAAUUGCAGUUGAAACUGGCAGUCUUGAGUACAGUAGAGGUGGGCGGAAUUCGUGGGGUAGCGGUGAAAUGCUUAGAGAUCACGAAGAACUCCGAUUGCGAAGGCAGUUCACUGGACUGCAACUGACACUGAGGCUCGAAAGUGUGGGUAUCAAACAGGAUUAGAUACCCCAGUAGUC